UAAAUAAACAUAUUUAAUGAAAUUUAAUAAUCUUAGAAAAAUCAAAAGAGAUCAUGCUGUAAAUUUUAACUGACUUCUAAAAAAUAAAACUUGAGCUUUGACCAAAAGAAAAGGAAAUGAGGAAGUUAAGAGAAUUACCUAAUUUGCUAUAAAUAAGGCAAAAUUAAAAGGAAAUAGAAAAGGAGACCAGGGUGUUGGUUUUGGACAAGAAAAACCCGACUUCUGCAGAGGGGACAAGUGGAAUGAGUUUGAAGCCAUGCGUCAAUGCACACAAGAUGGAAGCAGUGGUUGCAUUUGGGCAAUCUCCUUAGCUUUUCACCAUGAAUAGCGUCAUGGAGGCACACCACACAAUAUGGGGUGUCCUUCUCCUCUUUAGGAUUUUGGCGGAAGGUGAAAGAAGGAAGCUGAUUCUUCCGCCUAAUAAGUAACUGGGUGCUUAGGCGAAUGGCGAAGACGAUGAUUGUGAUGAUGAUGGUAUUCUUGCAGGUUGUAGUGUUGACCAACUCCAUGUGACCUUUCAUGAAUGCAACCCAUACAGCUAGGUAGGCAGAAAUAAUAAGAUGGAACUGGCAUGUCUUGUGCAAUGAAUUAAUAUGGCCUCAAGGCUUCAAGGGAAUAGAAUGUAUAGUUGGGCAUUUCUUGGAUUCCUAGCUACACCUACCUCUGCCAAUGACUUAAGUAUUGG
rnacentral:misc_RNA from 1 species